GUUCACUUUGAUGGCACAUACACCAAAAUUAGAAUGAUACAGAGAAGAUAAGCAUGACCCCUGCUCACGGAGGACACACAUUCGUAAAGCAUUUCAUGUGUUU
rnacentral:snRNA from 1 species